CGGGAAAAAUUGAACUUGAUUUUUGUCUUACAAAAAUUCGUAUUUAAACCAAAAAAGGUUAAUCUGUUUAGCAAAAUAAUGGUGUAAAAAUUAAAGAAAAAUAUGGAACUCGGCAAACUAGCUCCGAACCUUAGGAAGAAGGAGUGGCAAUUUUAACAAAUAAAUUGCUGUAAAAAAAGGAAAUCCACAACUGUUUAUUAAAAACACAUGACCAUGCUAAUUUUUAAAAGAAAGUAUAUGGUCUGACUUGUGCUAAAUGCUUGAAAAUUGAAAAAAAAAUUGUUUUGCUUUUUUAUAAAAACGAGCUAAUAGCAGUCUUAUUCCUGAGGAUUGUAAUGUAGCGAAAUUCCUUGUCCACUAAAUAUGGUCCCGCAUGAAUCAAGUAAUGAUGGAUUUGCUGUCAUGUUUUUCUGUUUUGUGAAUUUGAAGUAGGAGUGCAGAUUCUCUUUUCCAAAAUUAAGACGAAAAGACCCUAUAAAACUUUAC
rnacentral:rRNA from 1 species